AUUUCGUUUGGCAAUUGCUCUUUACGGCCUUUACAUUGCCCCGUUAAAAACGUGCGCAAUCAGAACGCAGUUGCACAGAUAAAGAAAAGAAAACUGAACGCUUGGGCACACUACAGUGCUCUCUGGCAGUCUUGACCCACAUUUGCCAGUCCACAAUUCAACUUAAUUUUCUCAAAUAUGCGAAUAUACGUACAUAUAUCUCUAUGUAUAUCGUACUAAGCUGA